rnacentral:rRNA from 1 species
CCGCGAANGCUCAUUACAAUAGCCGUUGUUUCUUGGAUCUCCNAAUACUACAUGGAUAACUGUGGUAAUUCUAGAGCUAAUACAUGCGUACAUGCAUCAACUGGUUUCAGCCGGGCGAUGUGCAUUUAUUGGUACAGAACCAUCCGGCUUCGGCCGUUCAUUGGUGAAUCUAAAUAACUGAGCGGAGCACACACUCUUGCAGUGGUGCCAGUUCUUUCAAGUGUCUACCUUAUCAACUUCCGACGGUAGUUUAUGUGCCUACCGUGGUUGUAACGGGUAACGGAGAAUCAGGGUUUGACUCCGGAGAGGGAGCCUGAGAAACGGCUACCACUUCUAAGGAAGGCAGCAGGCGCGCAAAUUACCCAUUCUCAGCACGAGGAGGUAGUGACGAGAAAUAGCAAGGCGGUGCCCAACGGGUGCCGUCAUUGCAAUGAGUACAAUUUAAAUCCUUUAACGAGGAUCUAGUCGAGGGCAAGUCUGGUGCCAGCAGCCGCGGUAAUUCCAGCUCGGCUAGCAUAUAUCAAUGUUGCUGCGGUUAAAAAGCUCGUAGUUGGAUCUGGCGUUUAGCGGCGGGUGCACCCAGUCGGGUGUUACUCGUUCGCGGCGCAUUUUUCUAGUCGGUUGGGCGUCGGUGUCAUUCAUUUGGCUGCCGUCAUCUGCCGACAAGUUUACUUUGAACAAAUCAGAGUGCUCAAAACAGGCGUGUGCCUGC